rnacentral:rRNA from 1 species
AGCAGCCGCGGUAAUUCCAGCUCCAAUAGCGUAUAUUAAAGUUGUUGCAGUUAAAAAGCUCGUAGUUGAAUUUCGGAGUUUGUCGGUUGGUCGGGCUUCACUGUCCGCACUGGCCUGAUGGAUUCCUACCUUCUGAAUAACCAGCAUGCUAUUAAGUUAGUGCGUUGGGGAAGCAGAGCUAUUACCUUGAAAAAAUUAGAGUGCUUAAAGCAGGCUUUUGCUUGAAUAGAUUAGCAUGGAAUAAUAAAAUAGGACGGCAUGGUUCUAUUUUGUUGGUUUCUAGGAUCACCGUAAUGAUUAAUAGGGAUAGUUGGGGGCAUUAGUAUUCAAUUGUCAGAGGUGAAAUUCUUGGAUUUAUUGAAGACUAACUUCUGCGAAAGCAUUUGCCAAGGAUGUUUUCAUUAAUCAAGAACGAAAGUUAGGGGAUCGUAAGACGAUCAGAUACCGUCGUAGUCUUAACCAUAAACUAUGCCGACUAGGGAUCGGACGAUGUUAAUUUUUAAUGACUCGUUCGGCG